CCCUCACCGUGUUUCUCUCUCUCACAGACAAGCCAGACCCUCCCGGGCGGCCCCUCGUGAUGGGCUUCACUUCGCGCUCCGUCAACCUGUCGUGGACCGCCUCGCCAGACAACCACAACUCGCCCAUCUCACACUACAUCGUCCACAUCAGGUAUGUUGAUCUGGUCCAUGAUUCUGCUCAACUAAGCAAGAUCGUGAUGGUGAUGCCCUGAUGGGUCGCAGCGCCAGGUGGUGAUAGCAGACUGGGAUGCUGGUUGUGGUGACGGGCGGGCGGCAGCGUUAGCGGCGGCGGCGUCACCGUAGUGCGUGCAGGGAUGGGCAAACGACGUUGUAAAGUCAGCCGACAAGGGCCAGGCAGGCAUUGUGACCUGAAAUACGGGAAACAUUCCUGUGAUAGCCCCACCUUUCAGUAGCUCUUCCCCGGCCCCGUGUAAGUGAUCAUGGGCCUCCAUUUUACCCAACAACUGAGUUAGCCACGCUCCAUUUCUGCCUCACCAUCGAUGAUCAAGACGCCAUCCCGCCGCCCUACCAGAGACGCCCACACACAAUCCCCGAGACCCACGCGAUGAUGCCACCGUUCUUUCCCUCCCUCCUUCCUUUGAUCUCAGACAGCAGGGCGUGUGGUGAUGGCGAUGGAUGGGAGGUGUUGUUUGUUGUAGCUUUAGCGAUAGAUGUGCGGUGGUUUCUCCUGCUCGUUUGUUCGGCGUGUUCGAAUUGGCGUAGUUUUAGGGAUAGGUUAGGUUAGGAGCUGUUCUUUGUGUCCUGUUUAAUAAGAAUGUUUGCUAUAAUUGUUUUAGUGAUGAAUGUAAAAUGUUACUUGCUUCCUGUUAUACUGUAGUUAUUAUUAUUAUUAUUCGCCUGUAGUAUUGACUUAUUUCGUAUGGUAUUUGAUGGUAUUCCUGGACAACGCGUUAUGCCUUACGAAGAAUAGCGAAUAGACGUACAGGAUGACAAAGAAGGGUAAAGGCGGAACAAAGAGUAAUUAGAAGAUCAGAAAACCAAUCGCUGUGAACUAAAACGAGCGAAAAAUCAACAAAGAUAAACGGAAAGACAAAGGUGGAAGCUUUUGUGCAGCACUGAACUGGAUGAUGAUCACGACGCCUCUUGCUAAUAAAAACUGAUAAAACUCCUUAAUUAGGCCUUAACUUUUUGGACUCUUUUUUUUCUUUCUUUUUUUUUGUGAUUAAUCAGUGUUUUCCGCUCAUCGAAAAGGGAGAAAAUGCUUAGGCCGUUGUUAGUUGAGGCGUGAGUUAUUAAAGUACUGGGCAUCACUCCGAGUUUCUGCUUCCGUGGCCAACAUAAAAGGGCGCGUGGUGAUCUAAGGGCCUCGUCUCUCCUAACCACCCCAGCCCCAUUCCUCUUUCCCCCCCCCUCUCUCUCUCCCGCUCUCUCCAAAGCGAGACCCCAUCCCCAUAAACCCUGGUCUCCUCGCUACUACCAUUAUGAGAGUUGAAUAAUCCAGUUUCAUGUGAAUUGCUGAGCGAAGCACCGGCGGCUCUUCCCUCAGAGGCUCCGGGUCGUAAGGUCGCCACGGUCUUGGAGUCUCAGUCUCAAACGAUUCGGCGUCUUAUCUGCACUACUUUAGACAAGGUGUAGUGAAAGUUAUUGGAGUUUUCAAGGUUUUUUUUUUUCUUUUAAUGUUGAUUGUUUUUUGCGUCCGGGUCAAAAAAAGAAAGUUAACUGUUUUGUCGCUACACGAAAAAGUAGUCAACCCUUGAAUUGAGUACAAAAUGGAGGCCUGUUCAUUUUCGGUGAUGUCUCGAUACUUCUCCCGAAGUAGUACAAGUCACAGGAAGGGAGGAAAAACAGACAGACAGACGGAUACUUCUCGAAUUUAGUAGUGGAAGAGAUGAAAGAGUGUAGCUAUCGGUUAACUCUUGCAUUAGUAAGGUGGACAAAAUAAAGUGUAAAUAAACAGAAAGCAGAGUACGUCGAAUACAACUUAGAUAUUGCAUCGUCAAUGGGAAAAACACGAAAACCCGACUGUUCAUGUGUAAGGCGUUUUAAAAAUAGACCUUAGUAUGGACUCGACAGCAUUUCAAAAUAUGGGUCUGCGGUAACUGCGGUCCAAGUCACCUUGCACCGGGGAACCAUAACGCAAGAGCGGGUUGGGACGGGAGACUAGAGACACCCACAAUUUACUUGCAUUCAUUAUACAUGCAUAAGACAAGCCGGUGAAGAAUGCAGCAGUACAGUCACAUACUCUGAUUUACACACGCGCCGCACCUACGUCUCAUUAGUGGCGUGAGUUUCAGAUUAGUGAGGUUGGACGUGAGGUUAUAAUAUAAGCACACGGCGGCUCCCGGGAACUGAGGAGCACAGCCCUCGCCACCUCGUCUCUCCCGGCGCGGCGCGGUGACAGCAGCUUAUUUCCUAACUGCGUCCCUCUGCUAAUUAGAAGCUCGAGGAAACAUGCAACGUUCGUAACACAGAGAAGGCGAAAUGAUAUAUUUAUGAAAUGCAUGGCACAGACCUGAGUGGAGACCGUGUCGUUAAGGAAGAAAAUAGAAAAAUCUUGUGUCGGAAUUGCCUUCAUUGCUUCUGUGAAAUAACACGACAAAUUACUUUUAUAACAGAGUUAGUAAUUUUUUUCCCCAUAUCUAUUAAGUACACGUUCGUAAAAUUCCCCCUAGAGAAACUGCUUUAUCAGUUCUAGUGUUUCUUGGAAGAAGCAAAUAUUUUUCACAUGCUGAUAGAACUCGACAAAAUGGUGCCUUUGAUCUACUUAUUAUUUAGUUUUUUACUUUUCAUCAGCACUAUCACGUCAAGUUUGUCAAGUUUCAUGAAGCCCUCACUGAAUAUAUGUAGAGAAAACCCACUGUUGUGUGUAUAAUAAGUUCCAUAGUCCUUUUUUCCUCUGACCCAACAAGACCAAAUAAUUUUCAAGACAUAAUUGUUAUUUUCUUUUCAUUCAUUAAAUCGACGCUCAUGAAAAGCCCACCGAAGAAAUGCCGUGAUGCUUCGUAAUGUUUCCUUGAAGUGGUGUCGCAUUUUUCAUACAUUAACACAGCUCGACAGUAAAUGUAGUGUGUAGGACAUUAUGUAGUUAUUAUUUUCUUUUACAUUUAUUCACAGGAAGCGUAUUAACUGUAUACUAAAUAAAGGAUCUUAGCAAAUUCUCUCUCUCUC